AGCGAACGCUGGCGGCAGGCCUAACACAUGCAAGUCGAACGAAGUCUUCGGACUUAGUGGCGGACGGGUGAGUAACACGUGGGAACGUGCCUUUAGGUUCGGAAUAACUCAGGGAAACUUGUGCUAAUACCGAAUGUGCCCUUCGGGGGAAAGAUUUAUCGCCUUUAGAGCGGCCCGCGUCUGAUUAGCUAGUUGGUGAGGUAAGGGCUCACCAAGGCUACGAUCAGUAGCUGGUCUGAGAGGAUGACCAGCCACAUUGGGACUGAGACACGGCCCAAACUCCUACGGGAGGCAGCAGUGGGGAAUCUUGCGCAAUGGGCGAAAGCCUGACGCAGCCAUGCCGCGCGGAUGAUGAAGGUCUUAGGAUUGUAAAAUCCUUUCACCGGUGAAGAUAAUGACUGUAGCCGGAGAAGAAGCCCCGGCUAACUUCGUGCCAGCAGCCGCCGUAACAC
rnacentral:rRNA from 1 species